GUGACUUUGUUUUUUUCAGGUUUUGCUGGCAGGAUGCACCUAAAACCACCCAGUAAACUCAGGAAACCCCUAGACCCUGCUCCCUCCUUCCAGAGGGAUGAAGGACUUUCAAAGCAACAUCUGCAGCACAUAGACUGGCUACUGCAUCUCUUCAGUAGUAACACCAAAAACCGGAGGAUUAUUAAUGAUGUGCAUUAAGGUUCAUCUUGCAGUUUUUAUGUGCUCUUUUUGAUUUAAUGUGCAAAACAUGUCCUUAAAAGUGCUUUCUCACCACAUGCAAGUCCUCAUAAAAAAUAAAGACGUAAAAAUUUAAAACAUCUGGCUGCUGAUGCUGAUUAGAAGCUGUAGAUGCAAUGCUGCACUUCACAAAUUGAUUAUAACAAGGACUGAAUGCAAAGCAUGGAAUCAUUUUAAUCUUUGUUAAGUUCAUUUUUUUUUUUUACAGUUGUAAAUACACCAGAAAAACACACAAUCACUGCUGCAGUCUUUCUUGAGUACGAUUUUGUAGUUCAGGUAAUCUCUCAUAGCUUCUGCCCACAUUAAGCAUCAUAAAUAUAAAAGUCUAGAUAUAAAUACAGUCCCUUGUGCUGGGUGAAUCACCAAAAGCUGCCACUGGAGGGAGAAAAUAAACCGGUUAAUAAUUAUUUUUAUCACUGGUCAGCAGAAAACUGUAUUCAUACGAGUAAGUAUAUGUUUCACUGGGAGCGGGGUAUAUAUGAGGUCUUUUCCUAACUCAAAGCAGAGGUCAAAAGUCAGAAUGUAAGAAUGUAAAA